GUGCCAGCAGCCGCGGUAAUACGGAGGGCGCAAGCGUUACUCGGAAUCACUGGGCGUAAAGAGCGUGUAGGCGGGUAGUUAAGUUGGAAGUGAAAUCCUAUGGCUCAACCAUAGAACUGCUUCCAAAACUGAUUACCUAGAAUAUGGGAGAGGUAGAUGGAAUUUCUGGUGUAUGGGUAAAAUCCGUAGAGAUCAGAAGGAAUACCGAUUGCGAAGCGAUCUACUGGAACAUUAUUGACGCUGAGACGCGAAAGCGUGGGGAGCCAAACAGGAUUAGAUACCCUGGUUAGUCCACGCCCUAAACGAUGUACAUUAGUUGUUGUGAGGCUAGACCUUGCAGUAAUGCAGUUAACACCAUUAAAUGUACCGCCUGGGGAGUACGGUCGCAAGAUUAAAACUCAAAGGAAUAGACGGGGACCCGCACAAGCGGUGGAGCAUGUGGUUUAAUUCGACGAUACGCGAAGAACCUUACCUAGCCUUGACAUAUAUUAGAACAUUUUAGAGAUAGAAUGGUGCCUUCGGGAGCUUUUAUACAGGUGCUGCACGGCUGUCGUCAGCUCGUGUCGUGAGAUGUUGGGUUAAGUCCCGCAACGAGCGCAACCCUCGUCACUAGUUACUAACGGUUCGGCCGAAGACUCUAGUGAGACUGCCUUCGCAAGGAAGAAGAAGGUGAGGACAACUCAAGUCAUCAUGGCCCUUACGGCUAGGGCAACACACGUGCUACAUG
rnacentral:rRNA from 1 species